UACGUAGGGUGCAAGCGUUAUCCGGAAUUACUGGGCGUAAAGCGCACGUAGGCGGCUUUGUAAGUAAGAGGUGAAAGCCCAGAGCUCAACUCUGGAAUUGCCUUUUAGACUGCAUCGCUUGAAUCAUGGAGAGGUCAGUGGAAUUCCGAGUGUAGAGGUGAAAUUCGUAGAUAUUCGGAAGAACACCAGUGGCGAAGGCGGCUGACUGGACAU
rnacentral:rRNA from 1 species